GUGAUCCAAGCCUAUUUUCUUGAUAUUUUUUGUAGCAGGGCUGUUGGAGCAGAGGAAACAUGUUAUCACCCAGCAACGAAAUAAUUCCCUUUUCUUUUCUUCCAUCUUUUUGAUAAUGUUGAGGGGAAAUUCUCUGUUCAGAGCUAAUGUGUCUUUAGUGCCAACCUCCCUGUUCUCCCAGAGAGAGCAACUCAGAGCCUCGGGUCGGCAACGGAUCUAGAGAGGAUUUAUGUUGUUUUGUUUUCGUUGAAUUUAAUUUUACAGUUGCCUUUAAUUUAUGACAAGUGGCUCUGGUCCCCAUAUCCAGGAUAAUAUUACAUUUUCUUUAAAAAUAAUCACAUUACACUGUCAAUGUAUGCCAGUUAUACCUCAAUAAAGCUGUAAAAAUAAAUGAAUAUAUUUUAGUAAAUAAAAGCAAGUUGGUUUACAGAAAAUGAUAAGUAAAUACUAGUAUAGGUACUUAAAAAUAGGAGGGGUGACCAUACCCCUGAGGGUCUCAGACAAGGCCUAGAGAGGGGAGAUUUGCCUGAGAGGACACAGUAGGUCACACUGGACCGCUCGAUGGUUCCCAGGCUCUGGGCCCUUUCCCACUCUUCUCCCAGGAAGCAGCAAGGUCCGUCUGGAGAGCAUGGCAGGGAACUUUCAAGGAAGAAAGUUCUAGAAGAAAUUUCUUAGAAGAACUGCUCCAAAAUGUUACUGUCUUGGGGCAGGAGUGGCCUGCAACCAGUGUCCCCUCUUCCUGCACCCCAGUUCUGUCUGGGUGACCCUGGCGAGUGGAUGCCUGGAUCCCCCCUGGACUGUGCCGUGGGCGUGGGGACUGCUUGCAGCCUGGCUGAGCCUGCAAAUGUGUUCGAAGCGGCCUUGAAGAACUCGCAUCCCUUCCUCCACCCAAAGCACUAGCAGAUGUUUGGCAGUUGGGAGUUUCUGCCUGACCUCAGGAGGUACAGGAAGGACACCAAGAGGCCAGUCCUUGACCCCAGAAUGGGACUGGCCUGGAGGGGAUGUUGGGGGAAGGAGGAAUGUGCCAGGUGUGGCGGGGGCCACGCUUUUCCCCAAUCCCUGCCCCAGGAGUGGGGACUCAGCUGGCUGCUGUAGGGUUUGUGCACCACGGAUGAGGACAGAAUGCAAAGUCCAUUGGCCGCAAAGCAGCAACUGAGCCUCUGAAAUGUCGAGUGAGCCUGUCAGGUUAGACAGAAUUAGAUGGGUGCACCCAGGCUCUCCCUGGCCUGCCACUUCCUACCCCAGGGCCUUUCACCAGCUGCCCCCUCUGCCUGGCUCUUCCCUGGCCCUCUAGAUGGCUGAUUCCUCUCCUUUUAGCUCUCAGCUGAUGUCACCACCUCCAAGAAGCCUCCCCUGAUCACUCUCUAAAGAACCCUCCAAGUCACUUGCUAUCACAUCCUUGGUUUUAUUUCCUGCAUUGAAGAGCUUAGUGCAAUCUCAAGUUUAUACUAUUCAUUCAUGUGUUCAAAUGUUAAGGGCACGUCCCACUGCUGACCCCGGGCACUCAGUUCGUAAUAGGUUUGUAUAAUAGGUACUCAAGGUGUUGAAUGGAUUUUGUCCAUGGACGUGAUGCCCAACACAGUCCCUGCCUCCCAUUGCAGUCUGGGAGGGGAGGCAAGCAUCGCCAGCAGCUUGGCAGAUAGCAGGCCUCUUGGAUCACUAUGUGAAUUAUGCCUCUUUCAAAGAUUGGACACCGAGUCUCAGAGAGGUAGAAGUCUCCGAGCCCAUGGGCCCAUGGUCAGGAUGACCUGAGGUCUUACCCCGUGGAGAUCCAAGGUCCAUUGAGGCGUGGGGGCAGGAUUGCAGUGCUGGGCACUCUAUCUGGCAAGGGCAGCUGGCAGCGGGGUUCCCAGCGCAGGCGGCUGCCCCAGCCUCCCCAGCCGCCAGUGCGGUGUGGGCUGCAAAGCAGACAGACCUGGGUAAGACCCCAGCAUGCCCCAAGAACACCCACCCCAUCUGCCCUCCCAACCCCACUGUGGCCACAGACAGCCAGGCAGGGCUGUCCCGCACCCUCCAUCGCAGCCCUGUCCCCAGGGUGCCCCAGUUCUGGAGAGAGUGAUGCGCUCCCCAUAUUGAGGAUCCUAGAAUCAGCCUCCCCAACGCGUCUCCUCCUGGGUUCCCAGAUGUGAUCACCCUGGAAUCCAAGCCUCCUGGAUGGAGACCGUCCCAGAUUCUGGGGCUGGGAGGCCUCUGAGAAUUCAACUGCGUGGAGCAGACUCCUAGAAGCCCAGAACUUCCACGGGCUUGCCAGCUGUGACCAGGUGCUGCCCACAGGUGGCGGAAGGACCCACGCUCCUGGACAAAGGGCACUCGGGACUCAGGACUCAAGGUGCUGGGGACAGUGGGGCCCUAGCCCAUCCCCAGAGCAGACCACUUCCCUCCACCAAGGAGCCCUGGGGGCUGCUUGGCCUCUCCCAGCACAGAGCAGGUCCCUUGAGGCCACUGGCUUCAGGUCUCACCUGGUGCUGGGUGCCUGCUGUCUACUUGGUGCUCAGUGAACAUGUGGCAAGUGAAAGAAUGCAUGGCCGCUGCAGAGGCCUGGGCCAAGGUCUGAGGACAAACAGUGCAGGCCCUGCCCUCCUUCAGGGCUCCCUAAGCCUGGACACCAGGGGAGGAAUUGGGCUCAGGGCAGAAGGUGACUGGAAGAUGGACACGGGAAGCAGGCACUGCAGCACAAGCUCCAGAUCCUCUGGAGUGACCCCUGGAUGAGCUUGGCUGGGCCUGGAGACAAGUCAAGCCCGGGCGUGGGGCUGUUCACGAUCUCUUCUUGGGCUGCUCAGAGGUGAGAGUGCCAAGACCUUCAGCUGCUAAAGAGCAGCAGCUCUCCCAGAAACUGUCAUCUCCACUCGGGGCUGACGGGCUUGAGAUGGCCCAGAUGACGGGAUGCUGUGGGAAGCUCAGCAGUGAGCAGCGUCCAAAUACUGCAGCCCCGGGCUGUGCUCAGGGGCGCCGGCCUGGCCCUGGAGGCCCAGUUCCUGCAGCGAAGCUUCCAAGCAUGGCUCUUCCCACCCAGCGUGGGGCUGAGUCUUAGGGCUCCAGGCCAGGGGAUGUGGGGGCCUGGCAGGAACUUCAGGAGGCCUUGGGAGGGGUUGGGGGCUGAGUUGAGAAGUGAGCAGAUGGCAUGUUCUGUCCCUUUCCUGGCCUCGCAGGCAGACCUUCCCAACAGGGGUUCAGAAGAGCUGAGGGCUCCCCACUGCCCCCUCAGAGCUGCUUGACCCCAAACUCUCUGUGCCCUAGGGGUAUUUUAGGAAAAUGAGGCAGAGUGGAUUCCUCAGUUCCCUUGAGGUUGAGGGUUGCAUCUGGAGACUUUUGGGGUCCCCAGUGAUCAGCUGAGAAGGCAGGAGUGACGCUGAUGAUGACGAGGGGGAUGACAGCACCUGUUAACUGGGUGCGGACCCCUUGCACUUCUAUACAUUAUUCCCAUCUGAUUUUUGCAAUAACCCUGCAGUCGGUGUUAGUGUUAUCUUCCUCUCAUGGGCAGAGAAACAGGCUCAGCUCAGAGAUGGGCUUAGCUUCCACGGGACACGUGCCACCCGGAUGUGGCAAAGCCAGGAUGUGAGCCCAGGUUGUUGGACUUCAGGUUGUGACGGCCUCACCGGUGCUUGUCUUACAUCCCCAGAGAACACAGAAGGGGCUGACUUGGAGGCGGGGUAAAACUCAGGGCAGUCAACAAUCAUUGGCCGACAGAAUAAACGAAGGCAUGAGUACAAAUGCUGGUGUAGCCCGAGGUCCCUGUUGUAAUCUUGGUUCAUCCUGCAACUGAUUAUUGGCUUUAAUUAGCCAAAUAGGAGAAAUGAAAACAAAUAGCCACCCAGCCAGGGCCAAGGUGUCACCACACUGACUCAUCAGCACUCAGGGCCGCUCUACCAAGUGAAUGAAAUGCCAGCAGGAUCUUGAAAGAGAGAGGCUGUGGUUGUUUUGUCUUAACGUAGCACGUCUAAUUUGCAGAAAUUUGUUGCAGGACGUUGUAGUGGGUGGGUAGGCACCAAAGUUGGGCCAGGUCCCUAUACAACUCGCCAGAAGUCCGGAGCUGAUGGGUGCGCGGCAGCGUCCACAUCUCAUGCAUUUGGGGGCCUCUGCAAUCUGCGUCGUCAGAAGACAUUGGGUUCCCUGGAUUCAAUUCUGCAGGUUAAUUUGAACAUCUCCAGUGUCAAUGAAACCUGUCCAAAAGUGUUGAUUUGGGGGAAUGGAUGAAAACAGAGCGAGGAAAAGGAUCAAAAGGGGUCAGCAAUAUUUGCCUGGUAGGAAAAUCCAGCUUAUGUUUCAGAGUGAAAUAGUGAAGGGGUCCUGCAAAUUAUCUUGUCAUUGUUUCCACAAAACUUGGGCUCUUGAGGAAGUGUUUUUCUGUUCAAAAGAAAACAAGACUUCUUUUCCCCCCCUGCACCCUCCCUGAAGUCACUGAGACUAGAUGGCCCUUGAAGUGGUGUUUUGUCAUGAAUCCUCAGAUUCUGUGUUUCUGCCGAGUGCAUUUUAUUUAUCUUGUUUUUCUGUGAGGAACUGGGAUUUAAUUAUGUUGGGAGACUCUGAGAUACAGCGAAGUGUGGCUGCAUUCGGAACAUGUACACACAAAUGCGAAGCAAUGCCGGGCACCUCUUGAGGAGCAUCAUGUCACCUCUGGGUCAUGCAUGAAGUCUCAACUUCAAGGUUGCAAAAGCAAAAUUGACCAAUUAUAAAUGAUUGCAUGACAUUUUCUCCAACACAGCUCUUGGGGUAGAAUGUUGGAUUUUCUUUGCUUUCCCUCCACUUCCUCUUUCUCUUCCUCCAAAAAAGUCUUAACUAAAGAAAUAACAGCUGAAGGUAGAUGGUGCGGUGGGUUGAGUUACACAACUUUUUGCAGGGAAGUGAUAGACGGAGUUAAAUGCAUGGACCAAAUUGAUUUUUAUCAACCAUGGAUUUUUAAUUAACAGUGGUGUCCACUUACUGUCAUUCAUUAUUUACUGUUUACCCACUAAUUAAAAAUUAUGCUGCUUUUGCAUUCAUAAGAGCAGGACAUUUGAAAUUAGAUAGCAUCGUUCAAAUUACCUGAAGAAUUAAAUCUAGAGUUCCCAAUUGCUCAGACCAGGCUACCGGAGCUUAAAAUAUGACCUGCUUGAGGCCGAUGUGUCAUCCUGAAUCAGAGCACCAGAAACAGGCCUCAUGAACAAAUACCGUAUGGACCUGCCUGGGGCCUUCCGGGGAAAGGACACUCACUGAGUACACACAUAAGUGUGGGCACUCGGCUAAGAUUGUCUUGAGAUCAUCAAGUGGUGCCCAGCGUCUCCUGAGUGGGAGGCCCAAGGUCAGGUGCUUCAUCUGCAUUAUGACCUUGAGUCCUCCCAGCGGCAGUGCGUCAGUACCCUGGCAGAGCCCAAAGGAUUGACAGGUGUUAUUGGCAUAACCACCUGUGACACGGGUUCAGUCAAUGAACCCAUUUUGCUGAUGAGGAAACUGCAGUUCGGAGGAGUGGAGGGACUUGGCCAUUGUCACUCCUCUGCAGACAGAUGCUUCCCAACCAAAUAAAACACAACAAUACACCCAGUAAAAUACACCUAACAUCAAAGGUACCAUGUCGGCCGGGCACGGUGGCUCACGCCUGUAAUCCCAGCACUUUGGGAGGCCGAGGUGGGCGGAUCACCUGAGGUCAGGAGUUUGUGACCAGCCUGGCCAACAUGGUAAAACCCUGUUUCCACUAAAAGUACAAAAA
ensembl:lncRNA